GUAACAGCUCUCAGAGAACCUCUGUGAGCACAAUGAAUGUGGGGGAGACUGUGAUGGAAUUUUCCUACCUUGCAAUAUACUUUUGUAGGGACAGCAUGUUCAUAGGCAUAAUCCAGAUAAAAAUCUCCUGCAGUCCAGAUAAAAAUCUCCAGGGCAGUUUUGCUGAAGAUAAGAGAAAUAUUCCUUAUAGGAAUGCAGCAUAUACCUGCCAACUUUCUGGCUGAGCAGAAGGUCAUAAAGCAAGUAUAAGUCAGAAAAGCAGAGGCAUAUAUAAACAUUAGAAUGAGAGGUACCAGAACAAUGUAGGAGGGCAUGGAGCUGCAUUCUGCCAGAGGGUAACAGUUGUGACUUAAUUUCACCAUGCCGAGAAGUUACUUAAGUGUCUUCUGGACUCUCCCUGCCACCCAGGACUCAGAGUGCCAAUACAUCUUUGCCCUGUGGUAGCAGCCCCUCAGAAUCAUUCCUCUGAUAUUUGGAAAACUUACCAUUUUCUUAGCACAGCCCUUUUCAGAGGGAAGAAGAGGCUCAGAGAA